AUUUAGUCUGUGUGCUUCCCUCAUCUUUGUGUCAAGUGUUCCAGCCCUUACCCUGUGGAUUUACUGCCUCGGUUCUUUGGAUUUAUGUUUGUCGGUUGGACUGCUCCCCCUGGUUUUGACAACUCCCUACCUGUUACCCACAGUGGUGGAGGAGGGCCCCUUGUUGCUGCUCUGAAUAUGGAACCGCCCUCAGGCCGUCCACCAGAGGUCCUCUGCUCAGACUUUUCCCUGUCUCCAGGCCGUUUGAGGUCCCCGCUGUCCGUCUGAGGUCUUCAGCUUGGCUCUUGAAUCCCUCCUCAACCAACCCUAAAGACCCUGCUCUUCUAAUGCCCACCAGUGUUCCUACCUUUCCAGUCACCCGACCUUGCACCUGCCUGCAGACAUGAUCCUCAUUACCCCAUUAUACAAAGAGUUUAUAUUGUAGACCUGCACAGUAGCCUAGUCAUUUGCCACACUGUGUAUCAUGUCUCCCUGUCAUAGCGUUGCAGCCCUUUUGUUUUGCCUCAAUCUGCCUGCAAUUGUGAUUUUGAACUAUGCUUCUUAGCUUUUUGCCUAUCUGCAUUAACUGUUUAACCUGUUGGUGUCCUGUGUUAUGCCUGCUGACAAAGUAAACUGACAGUUUUUAA